rnacentral:rRNA from 1 species
GAUCAUGGCUCAGGAUGAACGCUAGCUACAGGCUUAACACAUGCAAGUCGAGGGGAAACGACAUCGAAAGCUUGCUUUUGAUGGGCGUCGACCGGCGCACGGGUGAGUAACGCGUAUCCAACCUGCCUACCACUUGGGGAUAACCUUGCGAAAGUAAGACUAAUACCCAAUGACAUCCCACGAAGACAUCUGAAUGGGAUUAAAGAUUCAUCGCUGAUAGAUAGGCAUGCGUU